UUUAUUUCUAUUAAUUCACUGAAAGACACCAAAAAUACUUUUACUGUCUGCGUAUUGGGGAUGGCACGAUUGCUAUGUUAUGAUUAUAUGAUAAUCGAUUAUUUGGCUUCAAACGAUAAUUGAAUUCUAUCGCAAAAGAGAGUGCGAUUAGACAUUAAUCAAUUACGUGCACAGAUAAAUAAUUAAUUAAGCAUAUGUAGAACGUAUAAAGUGCAUAUCGAAUACAUUUUAUCAUGCACUCGUUUCAUACAUCAGAGUCCUUUGAUUUAUUGUGCUAGAGUGGGACAACGAAACUGCAGAGCUGUUAAACUGUUAAAGGCAUGGCACUGUUAACAAUGUAGUGUUGGCAAUGUUAGCAGCGGACAAUGUUAACCUCUACCGCUCCUCUACCACUAGCCCCUCUAUCGCAUUGGUAUAUGAAACAUCUGGAACUGAAACACAAUGCUGUUAACAGAAAAUAGAAUCAGGGAACAUUUUUGUACCCUUCACCUUAUUUAUAAAAAAUGUUAUAUAUAACAUAGCAGCUAGUCAGAGCAAAGCCCUCCACAGCUUUGUGCAUAAAGCGAGAAUCCAACCAGUUUGCAGCUUUGCAAAGAAGUAACUGUAUUCAAGCCAUUCGAAUGGCCGAUUCAAACGGUUUUUUCCGCGCUUUUCGGACUAUGUGAUAUAAAAACUGUAAGGAUACAGGCGUGGCAGGCUUUCAGCAAUCCAUUCAUUGUAGCUCAGGAUAAACCUUGUUUUUACCUUCGUCCAUGUUUGCAAUAUCAAUUGUAGUACUAUCAUGCUCCAAAUAAUGCUCCAUUGGAAAAAUAUUGUAUUUGCAUGGCUCUUAAGAGGAACGCUGACCAGUGAUGCAUUCUGAAGCCUCAACUCCAUCGACUCCAGCUACGUGCACCAGCUUCGUCUCGUCUGAAAUUUGAGUAGAAUCAAACCAGAUAAAACUCAUCCUUAACAUCUUGUUUAUUCAUUCUCUCAAACUAUGUCUUUGUUCGUAUUUCAAUUUUGUUGUUAUCUCCAAAUAUGUCCCUCACUUAUAUAAUACACAUAUGUGUUACAUAUAUUGCGUAUUAAAUUUGAGUAAAAUGAAUCCCUUUGUUGACAUCUCAACAAAUUUAAGCCCUAUGCAUAUUUCAGCUGCAUUGCUUUUAUCCAUAUUAAUAUUUGAAUGCAUUUCAAUGGAAACAUAUUUGAAGUCUUUUGAGGUAAAACAUUAAUUACACCUCUGCAAGAGAGACAUUUUGUUUAUGUUUCUAUUGCAGUUCCUAUUUCGCUCGAGAUUAAUCAAAAUUCGGUCCUGACAUCACUCACUGAAAUUUCAGCUUUGAUGUAUGCCAGUUGCUGUAAAUAUUGCAUAGUACAAGCAGCUAUUGAAUCAACUUUUAAAUUGACUGUGUGAGUUUGCAUGUGUAUAUACAUAUAUAUAUGUGUGUGUGU